UACAGAGGGGGGCCAGCGUUAUUCGGAAUUAUUGGGCGUAAAGGGCGCGUAGGCGCCAUGCGUGUCUUUCGUGAAAUCCCUCGGCUUAACUGAGGACGUGCGGAAGAAACUGCAAGGCUUGAGUCCGGGAGAGGGGGGGUGGAAUUCCCAGUGUAGCGGUGAAAUGCGUAGAUAUUGGGAGGAACACCGGUGGCGAAGGCGGCUCACUGGACCGGUAUUGACGCUGAGGUGCGAAAGCGUGGGGAGCAAACAGG
rnacentral:rRNA from 1 species